CUCUGACUCUUUCCUUCCUGCUCAAAGUUCCUUUUUUUUCCUUGGUGUUUGUGGCUGAUGCUGAUCGUCUCCGUGUGAAGCUCCGUGUGAAGGUAACCUUCGCAGUGUGUAAUGUUUCCUGGCUAACAUCAGCUGUGUGCGGCUUAGUUUCAGCACGCACAGCACACAUCUGCCGCUCCAUAGUUCACGGUAACGGACUCACAGCUGGACCAACGAGGCCGACCGUUAAACUGUUGCCUUGCUGAUAGCCUCUGUGUGGACAGGGUGGAGUUCAACAUGUGGGCGUAGAUGGAGGGAGCAGCUGUGUAGGUGGACAGGUUUAUUUCUGGACUCCUGCUGAUGGUUUCUAUUGCGGGUUUGCACAUGACGUCAUGCUGUCAAGGUAGUGAUCACGUUCAUCAGAAUCAGAAAGUCUGUUGUUAUUGUCGCAGGUACAAAGAAAUUAAAAGCAGUCACUUAUAUGUGCUUAGACAUAAAAACUACAUAGAAAUGAUCACGACUUUUUCACCCUCACAACUCAAAUAUUACACAUUACAGGUGUGUGCAGCACUCAUCGAGGACAGAAAGAGAAUCUUUUUUUCAUCUCUUUCCUGUUUCUGACAGAAGACGAGGAACAAAAACAUGAUAAUUAACAGAUACAGUCAUCAGAUAAACAGUAUAAAAGUAUUGUAAGUAUUAGGAGUAAAAGUAUUUGGAUUUUUAAAGGUCAAACAAUAUUUGAUGAUUAAAAAUCUUUACAUUUUUAUUUUCCUUUUUUCUUUCUAUCCUUUUUUUAAAUUUAAUUUUAUUUACUUUUCAUCAUCUUCAUCUGCCUCCAGCACCACCUUCAGCUUCUCCCUUCCAUCUGAAACUCUUCCUCCUCACUGAAGUUAGGCUUCUAAUGUGAAAAAUCCUACAUGAAUAUACUUGAUUCAUCUCGAUAUUGCCUCAAUUAGUCAGCAGCUCGAAUAACUGUGGUUUUCAGGGUUUUCCAUACCUACUCCACUGGGGUUGCAAGGUGAUCCAAGCAGGUGCUAAAAUGUGGCAUUGCCAGGCUGUAUGCCACUGACUGACUGAUUCACUGUCACCACAACAUGUGUCAUGAGACAGUCUCCUUCAAACAAAUCAAACUCACCAUGUUUAAGAUGGCAGUGAAAGAAACGGAUGGGCAGAAAGCAGCACUGUGGUCAAAUGAAGAGGUGCAGACCUUUUUGUGCACAGUGGCUGAAGAAAAAAUUCAGAUGAAGCUGGAUGAAGUGAUCCGCAUUGCAAAGGUUGGCUGCUAAAGGGACCAAUGCACAGUAACCAGUGGCUUUAAAAACGUUAAAAACUGAAAAGUGAUUACCGGGCCAUCAAGGACCACAAUGGCCGACGUGGGUCCAACAGACAGGACAGGAAGUGGUUUAAUCAAACGGGCGUCAUUUAUGGGCACUGACCAGCGAGCACCUGGAGUGAGAGUGGCCUCGACUCACUGCUGGAGAACAUGGUGACGUUUGUGAGUGCUUUGUGUGUUUAAUCAUAAUAUAGUACCAUUGGUGAUGUGUUCACUUUGAACAAGCCAUGUUUCAGUAACACUGUUGUCUCAGAUAAAAAGCUAGCUAGUUCCCUGUUUGUGCUAACUCCAUCCUCUGCUAGUUUUCUGUGCUUACUGAGAGAACAACAUAAAGCAACAGCUGAAGAACUACGCUUUCCCCCAGUUUAAUGUCAUUUGUGUCCUUUUGCUGUGAAACCUUUUCUACAUGCGAGGGCUUUUCAUACAUUUGGAUUAGCAUGGACCUCCAAGCUCCCCUGUUUGUGCUCCAGCUGCAGUUGGUGCAGCAACGCAGACACUGCAAUGCCCCAUCACUGGUAAGAAAUGGUGAUGAAAUUUCAUAUUAUGUUGACUUUAGCAGUGGUGGAGGAAGUGCACUUUUGUUUAAUUUUCUUUCCUCCACUGUAUUUUUGCUCCAUUUUUCCCAUAAUUCCUCUUGCAUUGCAUUGACCUUCCAUUCUGCCUUUCCUGAAGGCGAGAGGAAGAGGACACAAUCUACACCUGACUGUACUAGUGUGCUUGUUGAGAUCUGGCAGUGGAUGUGUUGAACCGGGAAUAUUGAGAAUACCGUGAGGCAUGGCAGCAGAGGGCGUAGGGAGGAAAAGGCAAAACGGCACAGGCCGCAGCCUUCAGUUAGGCAUCCCUGAGUGUGGUCGGUUACCUUGCUUCAGUAAUGCGUGGCCACUGUGGCUGAUGUUUCAUCUCAUCCAUGGACUUUACC
ensembl:lncRNA